CGCCUGGGGAGUGCGGCCGCAAGGUUAAAACUCAAAUGAAUUGGCGGGGGCCCGCACAAGCGGUGGAGCAUGUGGUUUAAUUCGACGCAACGCGAAGAACCUUACCUGGCCUUGACAUCCAGAGAACUUUCCAGAGAUGGAUUGGUGCCUUCGGGAACUCUGAGACAGGUGCUGCAUGGCCGUCGUCAGCUCGUGUCGUGAGAUGUUGGGUUAAGUCCCGUAACGAGCGCAACCCCUAUCCCUGGUUGCUAGCAGGUAAUGCUGAGAACUCCAGGGAGACUGCCGGUGACAAACCGGAGGAAGGUGGGGAUGACGUCAGGUCAUCAUGGCCCUUACGGCCAGGGCUACACACGUGCUACAAUGGCGCGUACAGAGGGCUGCCAACUCGCGAGAGUGAGCCAAUCCCUUAAAACGCGUCGUAGUCCGGAUCGGAGUCUGCAACUCGACUCCGUGAAGUCGGAAUCGCUAGUAAUCGCGAAUCAGAAUGUCGCGGUGAAUACGUUCCCGGGCCUUGUACACACCGCCCGUCACACCAUGGGAGUGGAUUGCACCAGAAGUAGUUAGUCUAACCUUCGGGAGGACGAUUACCACGGUGUGGUUCAUGACUGGGGUGAAGUCGUAACAAGGUAACCGUA
rnacentral:rRNA from 1 species